CAGUUGUCUCAGAUACCACUUCUAAACUGGUCUGUUCUUCUAGCCCACUUUCCUCCUGGCCUGCUUGCUGUGUAUUUUGUUCAUCUCCUCCUUGAUUUCCUUCUUGGGCCUCACUAUUUUCCUCAUUUAUUCCACUUUCUUCUGGUCGAUUCCCAUUGUCUAACACAAUAUUUAUUGAUUGCUUCUUUUUGUAGAAAUAAAUUAUCAAUGCUAUCAAAAGGGAAGAAGUUGAAGCAACUCCAGUAAGGAUAAAUAAUCCCCUGAAGUUGGCAAAUGAAUUAAGCUAGGUCUCACUCCUUGCAGCUGAAAGCUGGAACAUGCAACCGUGUGCUCAUUUACACAGCAACAAAACUGACACCUGUGGUCCUGAUGCAACACCCCUGGUGAACAGAAUGCAAUAAUUCUUGGACAUUAUCUUUGGAAUAGUUUGAUGUGAUGUGGAAAUCCAGUUGCUCUUAAUAGUAAUGUUAUGUGAUGCGCAGUUGCUUCCUAAUUGUACUUGUUGCAGCAUAACAGAAUGAGCUGAUGCAGUGACCUAACAAUUGAGAACAUGUACCUUGAGAUGCAGCUUGGACAUCAUCACUCAUGGAAUCUCUGAUGUGGAGGACAAGCUUGGUGCUAUAGUUCCGAUGAACAGCAUAGAAGUCCUCCAUAGCCAGUGAAACGCUGGUCCGUGCCAUUUUGCCAACAAUGGACCCCAAGUCAAGGAUAACCCCAACAUGGAGUUCCUGUGCUUCUUCUCUAGAAGUGUUUUGGGCGACAGCAAGGUUGAUUGUCAGCAAGAGGAGCAUGAUGACAUUUUGCAGCUCCAUCUGCUGAGCCGUGAGGUCAGAGGCUUCUACUGCACGUCUUUUCUAUUGGCUCCUGUGAUGGUUGACUUGGAUGUAUUAGUGAAAUGCUCUAUGUGUGAUGAUUGACAGACUUUGAAAUGGUCUUUGAAGUUAUGAUUGGCUCAGUGUGAUAUUCUUUACCCCAACAGAGGAAAGGAGCCAAGGAGUGCUGAGGUCAGAUGGUUUCUCCCCUGCAUACAGAUAACUGGACCCUUGUCCAUAACAAGGAAGUGAAUUAUUGCCCCUUCUAAAACAAGGUAACUCUUAAGUCAAACCUUCUCUUGGCGGAGGGUUUUUUCAUCUGUGAACUACGUCUUAGAUACAUCUGUUUGAGGGACAAGUAAUUCCGGACAGAGAGAGUAGAUAAUUGCCCAUGCGUUGCAACAUGACAUAAAUAUUCUAGCACAUUAACCUGUGAUUUACAUGUUCAUAUUAAUAUGAUUGUGUAAAUAAAUGUUUACUAAAUCCUGUCCGUGAUUUAUGUACCUAAAUAAUUUUUAAGAUUUUACUCCCUCCGUCCCAAAAUAAGUGUCUCAACUUUGUACUAGCUCUAGUACAAAUUUGUACUAAGCUCAAGACACUUAUUUUAGGACGGAGGGAGUAUCUGGUAAUCAUUUAUUUGGUAAAAACUUAUUGGCUUACAAAAGAUAAUUUGGCAAGUCAAAAAAAGGCCAAGACAUUUAAGGCGGUUUUCAAGGAAAACUAAUGAAAAAAAACCAAAGGUGGGAGAAAAGAAUCAAGGCAAAGAGAGGGAGGGAGGAAUGUACUUAAAAUUGAACGAAGGAUGAAGUGGAAGACAGAACCUUACAAUUCUAUUUGUGUGUAGGAGAGAUUGGGAUGGACGCAAUGUUUCUUACCUCGUGUCAACAGUAAAAUCAGAAAAAAUGAAAAAUAAUAAUAAUAAUAAUAAUAAUAAUAAUAAUAAUAAUAAUAAUAAUAAUAAUAAAAUUCUGUUUUUUUGGGAAACAUUGACAAAUGUUUUGAGUGCUUGCAAAAUUUUAUUAUGGAAUGACUCGUGGAAGUUGUGACCGAAAAGUCGAUGCUCCAAAGACGAUCUUGUAUCAUGGAGUGCAAGAAAACAACUUAUAAUAUCAAGAUUCAACACAGAAGCAAAAUAUAGGUCUCUUGCAAACGCAACAACAAAAGUAAUUUUUGGAGCAUUGUUACACUCCCUUCCCCGCAAAAAAAAGUGAUACGGGUUCAAUCAUUGUUACAUUUUUUUUUGAAACUUCAAUCAUUGUUACAACAGCUUGGUGUUUGUCACCCACAAGCAGCAACCUUAUGGUGUGAUAAUAUUGAUGCCAAGUAUCUGUCAACAAAUCCUAUGGUUCAUGCUAGAACCGACAGGGCGUUUUGGUGCCCGAGCCCAGCUGAACCUGAUAUCUUCACCUUCCAUUCUGCGCUCGGGAUCUGUGAAAAGAGGUCUGCCGUGUCAGGCGCGGGUCGCAGAAAAUAGGCAGCGAGGCGAAAUACGGUAGGAAACAGUGCGCUAGCAGUCGGCCAGGGGCGUGCGUUUUUUACGGAGCAGGCGCGGGCGUGAACUGGUCCGUGGACCAGGACGUUAGUGUUUUUGCGUUCCAUGGAUCAGAUAAGGGGAACAGGCCGGUGCCGAGAAACUGAGCCGUCCGUCUCACACGUUUGCGACACACGUGCGUCUCGGUCGUUCUGGAAAACCCUUGCCGCCCAACCACCCCCGGCCGCCACCAUCCGCCGGCCGCCACACCACGCUGCGACGACCGGCAAGAGUAUUUCUUGCGGCGGCGAUAGCUGGUCGACGGCAACCGCUACGUGAGCGACAUGGAAGAUGCUGGAUUGGACUUCUUCCUUGAUGCCAUUGACAGGUUCCCCCUGCAGGAAUUCGCGGACAGCCACGAACACCCAGAUUCAGUUCCUCUGAUUUUGUUGGCGAGCGGCGGAGUAGGAGCGACGGCCCCUGCUGAUUCCAAUGCUUGCUCCGGUUGUGGUCAGCAGAGCGGCGGCGACGGCAGCGAAGCUGCGCGUGCUGGGGUUCGGCGACGACAGGAGUCAUCCCCGACGAGGUCCACAGUCCACCGACAGAGUCAAUCCCCAGGCCCCUCUGGUUGCACAAAAAGAUUAAGGCUGGGUAGUGCGUCGCCCGACCGGAUGCCAUGUCCAUCCAGAAUGAUUUCUAUGGAUUGGAAUAGUCGAUUUGCAAAUAAGCAGAGGAAUCAACAAAAAGUGUGACAAGGCCUGAACUAAGUUUCAGUUUUUAUUCCUUUGGCUGAGGCUCGGUAGCACCCUCCCUGAUAGAACCCCAUGCGCUUCCCGGAUGAGUGUGCUGGUGCGAUUCGGAAAUUUGUGGAGAAACCAACAAAAGUGUGAUCAAGCCUGAGCUGGGAUCAAACUUUGACUCCCUCGGCGAGGCGUACAAUUUCUACAAUUGUACUUGUGGGAAGUGGGAUUCGGGAUAAGAUAUUAUAAAAGCAGAUUGAACGCGGAGAGGGAGAAAUCAAUGCAGGAAAUUGUGUGUGAAUGCUCAGGAAAGCCUGAAGUCGGGAACAACCGGUCUUGCAGAUGUGAGUGUCCGACGCUGAUCAGGCUCCUGAGUCCUGAGUGUCAGACAUCAGUUGUUUUUUAACAGAGCAUCGUGUGAAACAUAACCACUCAAUGUCUCUGAUGAUGGGAGAGAAAGUGCAUUAGCCAUCAGAAAGUUGUGAACCACAUGCUCACAGUAAACGAGAUUGAAAAUGCCUGGACUAUAUUGAUGGAAAAGUAUAAUCUGAAACAGCACCCAUACAUGAUGGAGAUAUAUGAGAUCAGGACCAAGUGGGUGAACCCUUAUUUCAAGGGGGUUCUCUGUGCAAGAAUGACAAGCACACAACACAACAAGAGUGCUAAAUAAUAUGCUGAAAACGUAUAUGCCUCGUGCCAUUGCAGUGCACAUGUUUGUGAGCCAGUACAUAUGGCUCCAGUUUGACCGUGAACGUGAUGAGAGCUACAAGGAGAAAAGAACAAGGAUUUUAAGUCAGUGUCUUCCCUUCUCUGUCAUUUGAUCAGAGUGUAGCCGUGCGGCGUAUAAACCCUGUGAUCGAGAGGCAUGCAAUCAAGGUUUAUACUCGAGACAUGUUCUAGUAGUUUGGUCAGUUCCUUAUUGAGGGAACUGCAUAUAAUGUGACUGAGAUUGACAAGGGUAAGAAGUAUGUGACGACAUAUAACCAUGCGACCAACCGGGAGAAGUGGAGUAGCGUAGUCUACGAGGUGAGAAUAAAAGAUGACGGCACUGAAUACGAGUGCGAGUGCGGACAAUUUGAACACAUGGGAAUAUUUUUGCUGCCAUGUGCUCAGGUGAUGGACGUAUUGAAUUUGGCUGAAAUACCGGAGAAGCACAUUGUUAAGUGUUGGAAAAAAGACGCGGGGGAUAUACUACCCAGACAUCUGGUCCAUUACCAGAAGAAUGGAGCAGUGAACCAUUCAUUCACUUGUAGGCACUCCACAGUGACCUACAAGCGAUUGAUAUUGUUAGAAUGAGUGAUGAGAGUGCGGAAGAGUUUGAUCGCAUGUUGAGGAAAUGAAAGCAGUAAUGCUGAGUUGUGCUCCUUUGGCUGAGAAGAGGGAUGAGCCCGAUUUUGAAGACCAGCAGACAACAUAAUCUGCUUGAAGGAAUGCCGGUAAUGGCUAGGUUGCCGCAAUAGGAGAUGGUCCUCCUACUGAAAAGCAUAGUUUGGGAUUCUCCGGUGGUGUAAAUGCACGGCAGGGACUAGCGCCAGCGGCAAAGGCAGAGGGGAGCUGGUAGGCUGACAAACAGCUGUUACAAGGCUCCUUGCGAGGGUUUGAGCGAGCGGACGGGAUUCUGCAGGAUCUGCCGAAGGCAAGGGAACAAGAGAACAACUUGCCCUGAACGCGGGGAUGCCCCGAAGCAGCCUUGCAAACUCGGGAAGUGCAAGAAUUGUGGAGUUGAGGAGCACAUGCGUAACAGUUGCACAAGGCCUCUGCGCGACAAUUGGUGGAAAGAAUAAGAUGAGGUUGAUAUUUGUAUGAUUCCAUUAGCAUUUGAGGAUUUUCUAGCAGUGCUUGUGUAUGCAUGGCUUAGAAAGCAUAUGUGAGAGUGCAAGUAAAUGAUGAUACACUGUUGCAUUUAGUGGGUGAGUGUUUCAAUUUGAAAAUUGAACUUGGGUUGCACUGAAUGCAGUUUCAAUAUUUUUUUUUGAACUUGCAGUUUCAAAAUUUGAAUGAAUGGAAGCCAACGUGUAUAGAGCUA